AUUUUUAUUUAUCACAUACUGAAUUUUUAUUUAUCAUACACUGCAUUUGCUAUUGCAUGUCUUUUGUAUGAUCACUGCCUCCCUGUCUUCUAAAGCAUUCUGUUUAACUCUGUCUUUCAGUGCCCCAAGGAAGGAAGCUGAAAUGUGAAUAGGACUCUCAUCCCAUACAAGUUGGCUCUUGGUAAGUCUGUGAAGAUGAUGAAUGAUUCAGCAAGACUAGUUGAAUUUAUCUAAGGGAUUUACAAGCUGGUACAUUUUGCUGGACAAGGUUGAAGAAUUACUUACAUCACCUAGAAAAAAAGAGAUUGUUGACCUGUGUAUCAAAGCAACAGAGCAAGAACUGAGAAUGGUGAGUCAGGGAAUCAGUGAAACAAAUAGUUUGCAAGUAAUGUGUAGAACAAAAAUGAUUUUUUUGAUGGCAGUCCUGUGUGAUCUCCAACUAUUACAUCUGAGAUUUUUC
rnacentral:lncRNA from 1 species